ensembl:lncRNA
GUUAAAGGAUAGGUACUUUGCUCCUUUUAUCACAGAGCCAACUAAAGCUCUUGGAACCUGAACUGCACAGAAUGUAGCACUCUCCAAGUCAAGACCCUCGUGCAUGAUGACAUCCGAAGACAGCCAUACUGUCCACAGACAGCUGCACUUGCACCCCAGCACACAGCGGCUGUAAAGGUGGGAGGUAUCAGAGGGAGAUGAGAGCAAAACUUUGCACUAAUGAAAGUACCACACCAACGUUAAUACCAGGCUGAUCGGGCAGAAUUUUGUUCUUUAUUGGUUAAUCCCCCAAAGCCCCGAACAAUCACGCACAGAACAGACUCUUUGGAAUGAGAGUCACAUAUUAACUUGAUGUUUAUAUUUUGCUCCGACUCCAGUUGAGUGAGCUUUUCUCCCCUCCCUCUCCCACUCGUUGCUUUGACCAGGGCUGUACAUAAAAGAAGAUCAGAAGCGAAGAUCGUAAUUCUUUGUUUUAAAUCAAAAAUCCUGAUGCAGGACUUGGGCUGCUCCCGCUGCCAGAAGGUAGAGCAGCCUGUCUGAACGGUGACUCAUGGCCCUGUGCCACAUCACAAAUAAUGCUCGUAUUAAUCUCUCCUUGCUUUGUUCUGGCCCCCCUCCUCCCGGUGUCUGAUUUCAUGGUGCGGCAUAGCCAAAGGUCAGAUAAACUACACGAUGGCCGGAGUUGCUACUGAAGAAAGAAAUCGGAAAUGCCUCUCCCA